CACGGUGUGAACCCACCCCACCCCAAACCAGCCCACACUGGCUUUGUUCCACUGAACGUAGAGUCUGGCCCUGAAAGACCUGCUAAAAGUAUUUCACUCAAGGAAGCUCUGGAGACAGCCAGACCGGACUUCAUCCGUCGUUCCCAGGAAAGAUUGAGAGAGAUGGGGCGAAGGGCGCAGGAAAGGCGGGCGCUCUCCGGUUCUGCAGCUUCGCAGUCGAACGCCAUGCUCGGGCACAAAAGACGCCACGGCUCCCGGUUGCCCUCUCAGAGUGAUAACCUUUUCAAACCCAGAGAUAGAGCCAUUAUUG